rnacentral:rRNA from 1 species
ACGCUCGACACCUACGGGAGGCUGCAGUCGGGAAUAUUGCGCAAUGGAGGAAACUCUGACGCAGUGACGCCGCGUGCAGGAAGAAGGUUUUCGGAUUGUAAACUGCUUUAGACAGGGAAGAAAGAAAUGACAGUACCUGUAGAAUAAGCUCCGGCUAACUACGUGCUAGCAGCCGCGGUAAUCUGAGCGGGCUGGCAAGGC